rfam:Myotis lucifugus cont2.201, whole genome shotgun sequence.
CUACUUAACGGGCAGGAGAGAGAUCAGGAUCAUGAAAGUGGUUUUCCCAGGGUGAGGCUCACCCAUUGCAUUCGGGUGUGCUGACCCCUGCGAUUUCCCCAAGUGCGCGACGCUCGACCGUAUCAUUUGUGGUGGCGGAGGACUGCAUUUACCUUUGCCCCUG